rnacentral:rRNA from 1 species
AGUGAACGCUGGCGGCAGGCCUAAUACAUGCAAGUCGAACGGCAGCACAGCAGAGCUUGCUCUGUGGGUGGCGAGUGGCGGACGGGUGAGGAAUACAUGGGAAUCUGCCCAGUCGUGGGGGAUAACGUAGGGAAACUUACGCUAAUACCGCAUGCGCCCUUCGGGGAAAGCCGGGGACCGUAAGGCCUGGCGCGAUUGGAUGAGCCCAUGUCGGAUUAGCUAGUUGGCGGGGUAAAGGCCCACCAAGGCGACGAUCCGUAGCUGGUCUGAGAGGAUGAUCAGCCACACUGGAACUGAGACACGGUCCAGACUCCUACGGGAGGCAGCAGUAGGGAAUAUUGGACAAUGGGCGCAAGCCUGAUCCAGCCAUGCCGCGUGAGUGAAGAAGGCCCUCGGGUUGUAAAGCUCUUUUGUCCGGAAAGAAAAGCGCCGGGUUAAUACCCCUGGUGUCCUGACGGUACCGGAAGAAUAAGCACCGGCUAACUUCGUGCCAGCAGCCGCGGUAAU